GUAGGGAAUAUUGGUCAAUGGACGAAAGUCUGAACCAGCCAUUCCGCGUGCAGGAAGAAGAUUCUAUGGAUUGUAAACUGCUUUUAGCAGAGAAGAAACGCCUUCAUUGAUGAGGGUUUGACGGUAUCUGCGAAUAAGCACCGGCUAACUCCGUGCCAGCAGCCGCGGUAAUACGGGGGGUGCAAGCGUUAUCCGGAAUCACUGGGUUUAAAGGGUGCGUAGGCGGGAAAUUAAGUCAGUGGUGAAAGUCUGUUGCUUAACGAUAGAAUUGCCGUUGAUACUGAUUUUGUUGAAUUGGGUUGAGGUUAGCGGAAUGUGACAUGUAGCGGUGAAAUGCAUAGAUAUGUCAUGGAACACCAAUUGCGAAGGCAGCUAGCUGGGCCUUGAUUGACGCUGAGGCACGAAAGCGUGGGUAGCGAACAGGAUUAGAAACCCUGGUAGUCC
rnacentral:rRNA from 1 species